UACGUAGGGGGCAAGCGUUGUCCGGAAUCAUUGGGCGUAAAGAGCGUGUAGGCGGCCAGAUAAGUCCGCUGUGAAAUCUCGAGGCUCAACUUCGAGCUGUCGGUGGAAACUGUCUGGCUAGAGUCCGGAAGAGGAGAAUGGAAUUCCUGGUGUAGCGGUGAAAUGCGCAGAUAUCAGGAAGAACACCCGUGGCGAAGGCGGUUCUCUGGGACGGUACUGACGCUGAGACGCGAAAACGUGGGGAGCGAACAGG
rnacentral:rRNA from 1 species